rnacentral:rRNA from 1 species
GAUGAACGCUGGCGGCGUGCCUAAUACAUGCAAGUCGAGCGAACAGACGAGGAGCUUGCUCCUCUGACGUUAGCGGCGGACGGGUGAGUAACACGUGAUAACCUACCUAUAAGACUGGGAUAACUUCGGGAAACCGGGCCUAAUACCGGAUAAUAUAUUGAACCGCUUGGUUGAAUAGUGAAGGACGGGUGUGCUGGCACUUACAGAUGGAUCCGCGCCGUAUUAGUUAGUUGGUAAGGUAACGGCUUGCCAAGGCAACGAUGCGUAGACGACCUGAGAGGGUGAUCGCCCACCCUGGAGCUGAGACACGGUCCAGACUCCUACGGGAGGCACCAGUAGGGAAUCUGCCGCAAUGGUCGAAAGCCUGACGGAGCAACGCCGCGUCAGUGACGAAGGUCUUCGGAUCGUAAAGCUCUGUUAUUAGGGAAGAACAAAUGUGUCAGUAACUAUGCACUGCUUGACGGUACCUAAUCAGAAAGCCACGGCUAACUACGUG